GGGCUCGUGGUUUAGUGGUAUAAUUCUCCCUUAGCAUCGUGAGUUCGCCAGUACAGGUUCUACCCAGUGUUUGGGAGCGGUCCGGGGUUCGAUUCCCCGCGAGUCCA